UGGCCCGUAGACGUGCAGCACUAUACCCUUUGUGACAU
rnacentral:rRNA from 1 species